rnacentral:rRNA from 1 species
CCUACGGGAGGCAGCAGUGAGGAAUAUUGGUCAAUGGGCGCGAGCCUGAACCAGCCAAGUAGCGUGAAGGAUGACUGCCCUACGGGUUUUAAACUUCUUUUAUAAAGGAAUAAAGUGAGGCACGUGUGCCUUUUUGUCUGUACUUUAUGAAUAAGGAUCGGCUAACACUGUGCCAGCAGCCGCGGUAAUAAGGAGGAUCCGAGCGUUAUCCGGAUUUAUUGGGUUUAAAGGGAGAGUAGAUGGGUUGUUAAGCAAGUUGUGAAAGUUUGCGGCUCAACCGUAAAAUUGCAAUUGAUACUGGCAGCCUUGAGUACAGGUGAGGUAAGCGGAAUUCGUGGUGUAGCGGUGAAAGGCUUAGAUAUCACGAAGAACUCCGAUUGCGAAGGCAGACUACUAAACUGCCACUGACAUUGAUGCUCGAAAGUGUGGGUAUCAAACAGGAUUAGAUACCCCGGUAGUC